rnacentral:rRNA from 1 species
GGCGCACGGGUGAGUAACAUGUGGGAAUAUGCCUUUUGGUACGGAACAACGUCUGGAAACGGACGCUAAUACCGUAUGGUCCCUUCGGGGUAAAGAUUUAUCGCCAAAAGAUUAGCCCGCACUGGAUUAGCUAGUUGGUAAGGUAAUGGCUUACCAAGGCGACGAUCCAUAGCUGGUCUUAGAGGACGAUCAGCCACACUGGGACUGAGACACGGCCCAGACUCC